AUUGAGUUCUCAAUCGGCUUCUCAGUAGCAAAAAAAACUUUGGUUUCUCUGGUUUCUUCCAAAACCUCAGAUUUCUUCGAUUGCCCAGGGUUCACAUAUAUUUGUGGUUGCUUUAUCAAUGCUUGGUGUUGAUCAGAGUGGACAAUUCGGGUUGCCAAAGCCAAUCAGGAUUUGGUAACUCAUCAAUUUAUGGUUGCUUUAUCAAUGCUUGGUGUUGAUCAGAGUGGACAAUUCGGGUUGCCAAAGCCAAUCAGGAUUUGGUAACUCGUCAAUUAAGUAAUUUUUGGGUUAGGUUUUCAUUUGAUUUUUUUUCUUUCUAAUUUUGACAAUAUAUUUUUUGACUUUUUAUAAAAAGAUGUACAAAAAAAUAAUAAAAAAAUGUGACCCAAAUAAAUACACUUAUUUAGCUUAUGCCAAAUAAUGCUUAGAUUUUAUAGAGCAAUA